CCAACUCCCCCUGUUCGCCGAGGGGAGGACCGGGGGUUGGCGGAUCCGAGGGAGACCCGUGUGCCAAGAAACCAAGACACCCGUUCAAUUUAAAAAAAUGGAAUGAGCCGGCGGGACGUCACGAUGCGCCGUCGCCAAAAAGCUCCACACGUCGCUGCACGAACGCGCUCAUUUGGCUCUCAGUCCGGAGGCACCGCUGGUUACCAGGAGCUCAUCCAAGACCCGUGCAACCCACCCACCCUUCUUCUGCGCCCGAGGAGGAAACAAAAAUGACACACAAAAGCACCAGAAGUGAAGACGAGGGCGUACUCCAACCUUCAGGUGUGUUGGAGGCGCUGUGUGCGUUUGUGCGUUUGCUGCUGACAGAGCGCUGUGUUCGCAGGCCUGAGGGGUUGUCUGUUAUCUUUGGUUAUCUAGCUGUAUGAGUGGCGUACAUUCUUCAUAAAGCUAGAUAACCGAAAGUAACAAGAAUCCCAUUACACGCCUGCACGGUGGAAGAAAACUAAAUGAAAAGGACGAGAAGAACUGGGAAUGGGCUCGGACAACGGACGCUGUCAAACGAUGGCGUGAAGGUUCCUAAUUGGUCCGAAGUUGGAAAUCAUCGGAUCUUUGCCUCUUUGCUCUUUUGGACUGUGACUUUGAGGCCAGUGAUGUUCGUCUUAGACAGGACAUCUUUAACCACUAAUAUACACAAGGAAACACACCGUCCAGUGGACGAAUAAAUUGCGGUGAAUUACGGUGAUCAGUGUGGGUGUGUUGCUGGAGGGUUUUCUCAUGUGCUGCUCUGCACAGCUGCUCAGGAAACAUCUGUACUACAUUUUCAUGUAUGGCAGAGCAUAGAUCAUUCUCUCUCAAACACACUCUCAAUCAUCUAAAGUUCAAACUAAUUUUAGAUCAGAUGAUGAUAAAAUAGUUGCUGUGGGGUUCUGAACUUGUUUCGCAAUGUAUUAUUCUUUAGAGAAUCUUAUCUUAGAUCUUAAAUCAUAGCAUUUAAACUGUGUUGUAUUGUAAUUAUUUGAAUGAGCAAGAAGAUGUGGACAUUUUUAUCAGGUAAAAUUCUUGAUGUCUCAAUGUAAUGUUUCACAGUCAAUGUGACUGGUUUACAAUUUUUUUUCUGUUUGCGAUGUCAAAAUAGUCUCUUGGAAUUGAUCCAUCAACCAUAAAUUGUAUAAAAAUCAUCCUUAAUUUGACUUUUUUUUUACAUUUAACCAUCUCAUAUUAGUGUUUGUUGUGCCCUUUUCAAGGCUUUGUUUUUUAAAGCAAAUAUAUAUAUUUAAAUUUUUAGUGUACACAUUUAAUCAAUAGCACUAUUAUCCCUGCAAGAAGCGUUUUUGUGCAAUCAAAACUACAUUAUGUUAAUUUCUUUCCUCUAUGCAAAAUGUUGUUUUGCACUCUUUGUUAAAGUGUUUGCACAGUAAUUGUUUUGUUAAGUUUUCACAUUAGCAAUGUUCAGCUUGUGUGAGAGAAUCUUGAUGCUAAUAUGCACUAUAUGAGCACAAGUGCAAUAACAAAUGUGUUUAUCUGGAGGUUCAAUGAGAAACAGUUAAUUCUGUUUUGAUUUAGUCAGUAAAUGCAAAAGUAGAUUUAUUUACACAUUUAAUUUGUUAAGUCAGUUCCUCGUUUAAUGUAAUAUUAGUGAAUGAAUGGGAUUCUGUUUUGAUCCAUUGUGGAUAACUUGUGGAUAUGUGCAAUCGAUUUUAUGCAGUUUGAAGACUAUUCAGAGGGAACAAUUGAUUAUAUUAUAAUGCACUAUGGAUGACACACCAGCUGCUGUUAAUGUGCUCCAAAUCUGUACUAUGCAACAGUUUCACCUGCAGUUUAUUUGAAACAAUAAAAGUAUUCACUUUUUGAAUGAGA